GACGAACGCUGGCGGCGUGCCUAAUACAUGCAAGUAGAACGCUGAAGCUUGGUGCUUGCACCGAGCGGAUGAGUUGCGAACAGGUGAGUAACGCGUAGGUAACCUGCAUGGUAGCGGGGGAUAACUAUUGGAAACGAUAGCUAAUACCGCAUAAGAGUAGAUAUCGCAUGAUAUGUGCUUAAAAGGUGCAAUUGCACCACUACCAGAUGGACCUGCGUUGUAUUAGCUAGUUGGUGAGGUAACGGCUCACCAAGGCGACGAUACAUAGCCGACCUGAGAGGGUGAUCGGCCACACUGGGACUGAGACACGGCCCAGACUCCUACGGGAGGCAGCAGUAGGGAAUCUUCGGCAAUGGACGGAAGUCUGACCGAGCAACGCCGCGUGAGUGAAGAAGGUUUUCGGAUCGUAAAGCUCUGUUGUAAGAGAAGAACGAGUGUGAGAGUGGAAAGUUCACACUGUGACGGUAUCUUACCAGAAAGGGACGGCUAACUACGUGCCAGCAGCCGCGGUAAUACGUAGGUCCCGAGCGUUGUCCGGAUUUAUUGGGCGUAAAGCGAGCGCAGGCGGUUAGAUAAGUCUGAAGUUAAAGGCUGUGGCUUAACCAUAGUACGCUUUGGAAACUGUUUAACUUGAGUGCAAGAGGGGAGAGUGGAAUUCCAUGUGUAGCGGUGAAAUGCGUAGAUAUAUGGAGGAACACCGGUGGCGAAAGCGGCUCUCUGGCUUGUAACUGACGCUGAGGCUCGAAAGCGUGGGGAGCAAACAGG
rnacentral:rRNA from 1 species